CAUCUUCUCGGGCGGUAUCUGACGUGUUUACUCCGGUGUUUAGCGGCUUGUGUGGUCGGCGGUCCGGCAGGGUGGCAGCGGCGGCGUCGCGGGGACCCAGCCCGGAUCUGGAGAGUCCCCUGUAUUCAGGGAGUCACCUUCAGGGCUUCCUCACAUUUUGAGAACUUGCACACAGCACUUCCCCAACACCCGGACGGUCCCCGCAGCCCUCAGCGAGCAGAAACUACCUUCUAGGCUCACAAGACGAUUUGCUGUGGAGUGAUCUUCAUCUGGGAAACAGACUGACUUAGACUGUCACCAGGAGAGCUCCAUACCACAAAGCUUGGGCCAUUUCAUUCACAACUGGGGAUUGUCUUUUUUUUUUUUAAUUGAGUUCAUAACAGUUCACAUCAAUGUGAAAUUUCACUUGUACAUUAUUUCUUGUCUGUCACGACAUAGGUGCUUCCCUUUCACCCCCUGUGCCCACCCCCACCCCCUUCCCCUGGUACCACUGAACUGUUUCCUUUGUCCAUGUGCUUGUUUAUAUUCCACACAUGAGUGAAAUCAUCUGGUGUUUGUCUUUCUCAGACUGGCUUAUUUUGCUUAGCAUAAUUCCCUCCAGGUCCUCCCCGUGUUGUUGCAAAUGGGAUGAUUUUUGUCUUUUUUCUGGCUGAGUAGUAUUCCAUUAUAUAUAUAUACACACACCACAGCUUCUUUAUCCAAUCAUCAGCCAAUGGGCACUUGGGUUGUUUCCAUGUCUUGGCUAUUGUGAAUAGCACUGCAAUGAACGUAGCGCUGCAUAUGUUACUUUGGAUUGUUGAUUUCAAAUUGCCCAGCUGGGAAUUUUUAUAAGC
rnacentral:lncRNA from 1 species